GAGCGGGGAAGGGUAGCUUGCUACCCAACCUAGCGGCGGACGGGUGAGUAAUGCUUAGGAAUCUGCCUAUUAGUGGGGGACAACGUUUCGAAAGGAACGCUAAUACCGCAUACGCCCUACGGGGGAAAGCAGGGGCUCUUCGGACCUUGCGCUAAUAGAUGAGCCUAAGUCAGAUUAGCUAGUUGGUGGGGUAAAGGCCUACCAAGGCGACGAUCUGUAGCGGGUCUGAGAGGAUGAUCCGCCACACUGGGACUGAGACACGGCCCAGACUCCUACGGGAGGCAGCAGUGGGGAAUAUUGGACAAUGGGGGGAACCCUGAUCCAGCCAUGCCGCGUGUGUGAAGAAGGCCUUUUGGUUGUAAAGCACUUUAAGCGAGGAGGAGGCUCCUAUAGAUAAUACCUAUAGUGAGUGGACGUUACUCGCAGAAUAAGCACCGGCUAACUCUGUGCCAGCAGCCGCGGUAAUACAGAGGGUGCGAGCGUUAAUCGGAUUUACUGGGCGUAAAGCGUACGUAGGCGGCUUUUUAAGUCGGAUGUGAAAUCCCUGAGCUUAACUUAGGAAUUGCAUUCGAUACUGGGAAGCUAGAGUAUGGGAGAGGAUGGUAGAAUUCCAGGUGUAGCGGUGAAAUGCGUAGAGAUCUGGAGGAAUACCGAUGGCGAAGGCAGCCAUCUGGCCUAAUACUGACGCUGAGGUACGAAAGCAUGGGGAGCAAACAGGAUUAGAUACCCUGGUAGUCCAUGCCGUAAACGAUGUCUACUAGCCGUUGGGGCCUUUGAGGCUUUAGUGGCGCAGCUAACGCGAUAAGUAGACCGCUGGGGAGUACGGUCGCAAGACUAAAACUCAAAUGAAUUGACGGGGGCCCGCACAAGCGGUGGAGCAUGUGGUUUAAUUCGAUGCAACGCGAAGAACCUUACCUGGUCUUGACAUAGUAAGAACUUUCCAGAGAUGGAUUGGUGCCUUCGGGAACUUACAUACAGGUGCUGCGAUGGCUGUGUUUAGCUCGUGUCGUGAGAUGUUGGGUUAAGUCCCGCAACGAGCGCAACCCUUUUCCUUAUUUGCCAGCGGGUUAAGCCGGGAACUUUAAGGAUACUGCCAGUGACAAACUGGAGGAAGGCGGGGACGACGUCAAGUCAUCAUGGCCCUUACGACCAGGGCUACACACGUGCUACAAUGGUCGGUACAAAGGGUUGCUACCUAGCGAUAGGAUGCUAAUCUCAAAAAGCCGAUCGUAGUCCGGAUUGGAGUCUGCAACUCGACUCCAUGAAGUCGGAAUCGCUAGUAAUCGCGGAUCAGAAUGCCGCGGUGAAUACGUUCCCGGGCCUUGUACACACCGCCCGUCACACCAUGGGAAUUUGUUGCACCAGUAAGUAGGUAGUCUAACCGCAAGG
rnacentral:rRNA from 1 species